UUUUGUAGAAUGAACCGGCGAGUUACGAUUUGAUGCAAGGUUAAGCAGUAAAUGUGGAGCCGUAGCGAAAGCGAGUCUGAAUAGGGCGUUUAGUAUUUGGUCGUAGACCCGAAACCAGGUGAUCUACCCUUGGUCAGGUUGAAGUUCAGGUAACACUGAAUGGAGGACCGAACCGACUUACGUUGAAAAGUGAGCGGAUGAACUGAGGGUAGCGGAGAAAUUCCAAUCGAACCUGGAGAUAGCUGGUUCUCUCCGAAAUAGCUUUAGGGCUAGCCUCAAGUGAUGAUUAUUGGAGGUAGAGCACUGUUUGGACGAGGGGCCCCUCUCGGGUUACCGAAUUCAGACAAACUCCGAAUGCCAAUUAAUUUAACUUGGGAGUCAGAACAUGGGUGAUAAGGUCCGUGUUCGAAAGGGAAACAGCCCAGACCACCAGCUAAGGUCCCAAAAUAUAUGUUAAGUGGAAAAGGAUGUGGCGUUGCCCAGACAACUAGGAUGUUGGCUUAGAAGCAGCCAUCAUUUAAAGAGUGCGUAAUAGCUCACUAGUCGAGUGACACUGCGCCGAAAAUGUACCGGGGCUAAACAUAUUACCGAAGCUGUGGAUUGUCCUUUGGACAAUGGUAGGAGAGCGUUCUAAGGGCGUUGAAGCAUGAUCGUAAGGACAUGUGGAGCGCUUAGAAGUGAGAAUGCCGGUGUGAGUAGCGAAAGACGGGUGAGAAUCCCGUCCACCGAUUGACUAAGGUUUCCAGAGGAAGGCUCGUCCGCUCUGGGUUAGUCGGGUCCUAAGCUGAGGCCGACAGGCGUAGGCGAUGGAUAACAGGUUGAUAUUCCUGUACCACCUAUAAUCGUUUUAAUCGAUGGGGGGACGCAGUAGGAUAGGCGAAGCGUGCGAUUGGAUUGCACGUCUAAGCAGUAAGGCUGAGUAUUAGGCAAAUCCGGUACUCGUUAAGGCUGAGCUGUGAUGGGGAGAAGACAUUGUGUCUUCGAGUCGUUGAUUUCACACUGCCGAGAAAAGCCUCUAGAUAGAAAAUAGGUGCCCGUACCGCAAACCGACACAGGUAGUCAAGAUGAGAAUUCUAAGGUGAGCGAGCGAACUCUCGUUAAGGAACUCGGCAAAAUGACCCCGUAACUUCGGGAGAAGGGGUGCUCUUUAGGGUUAACGCCCAGAAGAGCCGCAGUGAAUAGGCCCAAGCGACUGUUUAUCAAAAACACAGGUCUCUGCUAAACCGUAAGGUGAUGUAUAGGGGCUGACGCCUGCCCGGUGCUGGAAGGUUAAGAGGAGUGGUUAGCUUCUGCGAAGCUACGAAUCGAAGCCCCAGUAAACGGCGGCCGUAACUAUAACGGUCCUAAGGUAGCGAAAUUCCUUGUCGGGUAAGUUCCGACCCGCACGAAAGGCGUAACGAUUUGGGCACUGUCUCAACGAGAGACUCGGUGAAAUCAUAGUACCUGUGAAGAUGCAGGUUACCCGCGACAGGACGGAAAGACCCCGUGGAGCUUUACUGUAGCCUGAUAUUGAAAUUCGGCACAGCUUGUACAGGAUAGGUAGGAGCCUUUGAAACGUGAGCGCUAGCUUACGUGGAGGCGCUGGUGGGAUACUACCCUAGCUGUGUUGGCUUUCUAACCCGCACCACUUAUCGUGGUGGGAGACAGUGUCAGGCGGGCAGUUUGACUGGGGCGGUCGCCUCCUAAAAGGUAACGGAGGCGCUCAAAGGUUCCCUCAGAAUGGUUGGAAAUCAUUCAUAGAGUGUAAAGGCAUAAGGGAGCUUGACUGCGAGACCUACAAGUCGAGCAGGGUCGAAAGACGGACUUAGUGAUCCGGUGGUUCCGCAUGGAAGGGCCAUCGCUCAACGGAUAAAAGCUACCCCGGGGAUAACAGGCUUAUCUCCCCCAAGAGUUCACAUCGACGGGGAGGUUUGGCACCUCGAUGUCGGCUCAUCGCAUCCUGGGGCUGUAGUCGGUCCCAAGGGUUGGGCUGUUCGCCCAUUAAAGCGGUACGCGAGCUGGGUUCAGAACGUCGUGAGACAGUUCGGUCCCUAUCCGUCGUGGGCGUAGGAAAUUUGAGAGGAGCUGUCCUUAGUACGAGAGGACCGGGAUGGACAUACCUCUGGUGUACCAGUUGUCGUGCCAACGGCAUAGCUGGGUAGCUAUGUGUGGACGGGAUAAGUGCUGAAAGCAUCUAAGCAUGAAGCCCCCCUCAAGAUGAGAUUUCCCAACUUCGGUUAUAAGAUCCCUCAAAGAUGAUGAGGUUAAUAGGUUCGAGGUGGAAGCAUGGUGACAUGUGGAGCUGACGAAUACUAA
rnacentral:rRNA from 1 species